GGGCGAGGUUGCUUCGGUAACUGAGCUAGCGGCGGACGGGUGAGUAAAGCUUAGGAAUCUGCCUAUUAGUGGGGGACAACAUUCCGAAAGGGAUGCUAAUACCGCAUACGUCCUACGGGAGAAAGCAGGGGAUCACUUGUGACCUUGCGCUAAUAGAUGAGCCUAAGUCGGAUUAGCUAGUUGGUGGGGUAAAGGCCUACCAAGGCGACGAUCUGUAGCGGGUCUGAGAGGAUGAUCCGCCACACUGGGACUGAGACACGGCCCAGACUCCUACGGGAGGCAGCAGUGGGGAAUAUUGGACAAUGGGGGGAACCCUGAUCCAGCCAUGCCGCGUGUGUGAAGAAGGCCUUUUGGUUGUAAAGCACUUUAAGCGAGGAGGAGGCUUACCUGGUUAAUACCUGGGAUAAGUGGACGUUACUCGCAGAAUAAGCACCGGCUAACUCUGUGCCAGCAGCCGCGGUAAUACAGAGGGUGCGAGCGUUAAUCGGAUUUACUGGGCGUAAAGCGCGCGUAGGUGGUUAAUUAAGUCAAAUGUGAAAUCCCCGAGCUUAACUUGGGAAUUGCAUUCGAUACUGGUUAGCUAGAGUAUGGGAGAGGAUGGUAGAAUUCCAGGUGUAGCGGUGAAAUGCGUAGAGAUCUGGAGGAAUACCGAUGGCGAAGGCAGCCAUCUGGCCUAAUACUGACACUGAGGUGCGAAAGCAUGGGGAGCAAACAGGAUUAGAUACCCUGGUAGUCCAUGCCGUAAACGAUGUCUACUAGCCGUUGGGGGAUUUGAUCCUUUAGUGGCGCAGCUAACGCGAUAAGUAGACCGCCUGGGGAGUACGGUCGCAAGACUAAAACUCAAAUGAAUUGACGGGGGCCCGCACAAGCGGUGGAGCAUGUGGUUUAAUUCGAUGCAACGCGAAGAACCUUACCUGGCCUUGACAUAGUAGAGACUUUCCAGAGAUGGAUUGGUGCCUUCGGGAAUCUAC
rnacentral:rRNA from 1 species